rnacentral:rRNA from 1 species
GACGAACGCUGGCGGCGUGCUUAACACAUGCAAGUCGAACGCUGAAGCUCAGCUUUUUUCGGGUGGAUGAGUUGCCAACGGGUGGGUAACACGCGAGUAACCUGCCCCCUUCUUUGGGAUAACGCCCGGAAACGGGUGCUAAUUCUUGAUAUUUACUGGCCUUCGCUUGGGGGUUGGUGGUUAGGGGUUUGCUUGGGUGGGAUGGGCUCGUGGCCUUUCAGCUUGUUGGUGGGUUGAUGGGGUACCAAGGCUUUGACGGGUAGCCGGCGUGACGGGGUGACCGGUGACAUAGGGACGGAGAUAAGGCCCACACUACUACGGGAGGCAGAAGUGGCGAAUAUUGGCGAAUGGGUGAAAGCGUGAUGCAGCGUCGGUGAGUGAGGGAUGGGGUUCUUAGAGUUGUGAACUUCUUUAGGUAAUGGUGAGGCCGAAACAAUGGUUGUAGUGAGGGUAGUGGGUAAAGAAGCGACGGCUAACUACGUG